rnacentral:rRNA from 1 species
AUGCACGCUGGCGGCGUGCCUCAUCCAUGCAAGUCGAGCGAACGGACGAGAAGCUUGCUUCUCUGAUGUUAGCGGCGGACGGGUGAGUAACACGUGGAUAACCUACCUAUAAGACUGGGAUAACUUCGGGAAACCGUAGCUAAUACCGGAUAAUAUUUUGAACCGCAUGGUUCAAAAGUGAAAGACGGUCUUGCUGUCACUUAUAGAUGGAUCCGCGCUGCAUUAGCUAGUUGGUAAGGUAACGGCUUACCAAGGCAACGAUGCAUAGCCGACCUGAGAGGGUGAUCGGCCACACUGGAACUGAGACACGGUCCAGACUCCUACGGGAGGCAGCAGUAGGGAAUCUUCCGCAAUGGGCGAAAGCCUGACGGAGCAACGCCGCGUGAGUGAUGAAGGUCUUCGGAUCGUAAAACUCUGUUAUUAGGGAAGAACAUAUGUGUAAGUAACUGUGCACAUCUUGACGGUACCUAAGCAGAAAGCCACGGCUAACUACGU